rnacentral:rRNA from 1 species
ACGGGUGAGUAAUGUCUGGGAAACUGCCUGAUGGAGGGGGAUAACUACUGGAAACGGUAGCUAAUACCGCAUAACGUCGCAAGACCAAAGAGGGGGACCUUCGGGCCUCUUGCCAUCAGAUGUGCCCAGAUGGGAUUAGCUAGUAGGCGGGGUAACGGCUCACCUAGGCGACGAUCCCUAGCUGGUCUGAGAGGAUGACCAGCCACACUGGAACUGAGACACGGUCCAGACUCCUACGGGAGGCAGCAUG